rnacentral:rRNA from 1 species
CCUACGGGAGGCAGCAGUGAGGAAUAUUGGUCAAUGGGCGCGAGCCUGAACCAGCCAAGUAGCGUGAAGGAUGACUGCCCUACGGGUUGAAAACUUCUUUUAUAAAGGAAUAAAGUGAGACACGUGUGCCUUUUUGUAUGUACUUGAUGAAUAAGGAUCGGCUAACUCCGUGCCAGCAGACGCGGUAAUACGGAGGAUCCGAGCGUUAUCCGGAAUGAUUGGGGAUAAAGGGUGCGUAGGGGGCCUACUAAGUCUGGAGUGAAAGGUACCGGCUACACCGGUACAGGCUCUUGAAACUGGCUGGCUAGAGAGCAGGAGAGGGCGGUGGAACUCCAUGUGUAGCGGUAAAA